rnacentral:rRNA from 1 species
UACGAAGGGGGCUAGCGUUGCUCGGAAUCACUGGGCGUAAAGGGUGCGUAGGCGGGUCUUUAAGUCAGGGGUGAAAUCCUGGAGCUCAACUCCAGAACUGCCUUUGAUACUGAGGAUCUUGAGUACGGGAGAGGUGAGUGGAACUGCGAGUGUAGAGGUGAAAUUCGUAGAUAUUCGCAAGAACACCAGUGGCGAAGGCGGCUCACUGGCUCGUUUCUGACGCUCAGGCGCGAUAGCGUGGGGAUCAAACAGG